rnacentral:rRNA from 1 species
AUUCCAGACUCCUACGGGAGGCAGCAGUGGGGAAUAUUGCACAAUGGGGGGAACCCUGAUGCAGCGACGCCGCGUGGGUGAAGAAGUCAUUCGUGACGUAAAGCCCUAUCAGCAGGGAAGAAAAUGACGGUACCUGACUAAGAAGCCCCGGCUAACUACGUGCCAGCAGCCGCGGUAAUACGUAGGGGGCAAGCGUUAUCCGGAUUUACUGGGUGUAAAGGGAGCGUAGACGGCCAAGCAAGCCAGGGGUGAAAGCCCGGGGCCCAACCCCGGGACUGCCCUUGGAACUGCAUGGCUGGAGUGCGGGAGGGGCAGGCGGAAUUCCUAGUGUAGCGGUGAAAUGCGUAGAUAUUAGGAGGAACACCAGUGGCGAAGGCGGCCUGCUGGACGAUGACUGACGUUGAGGCUCGAAAGCGUGGGGAGCAAACAGGAUUAGAUACCCCCGUAC